rnacentral:rRNA from 1 species
UCUGGCUCAGGACGAACGCUGGCGGCACGCUUAACACAUGCAAGUCGAACGGAGUUUAAAGAGCUUAGCUUUUAAACUUAGUGGCGGACGGGUGAGUAACACGUGAGCAAUCUGCCUUCAGAGGGGGAUAGCAGUUGGAAACGACUGAUAAUACCGCAUAACAUAGCGAAACCGCAUGAUUUUUGCUAUCAAAGAUUUAUCGCUGAAAGAUGAGCUCGCGUCUGAUUAGGUAGUUGGUGAGGUAACGGCUCACCAAGCCGACGAUCAGUAGCCGGACUGAGAGGUUGAACGGCCACAUUGGGACUGAGACACGGCCCAGACUCCUACGGGAGGCAGCAGUGGGGAAUAUUGCACAAUGGGCGCAAGCCUGAUGCAGCGAUGCCGCGUGAGGGAAGAAGGUUUUAGGAUUGUAAACCUCUGUCCUAUGGAAAGAUAAUGACGGUACCAUAGGAGGAAGCUCCGGCUAACUACGUGCCAGCAGCGGC